UAACCAUGAAAUUACCAUACUAUUACACCUGUCCCAUAAUCUCUGUUGAGCAGCAUUAGUAGCUGGUCGAGGACAAGUUCCAUCUAUAAAGCCAAUUUUAUUUUUAGCAGUCAAAGCAACAAUCAUUUUUCUUCUCCAUCCCCCAAAACCAUCACCUGAGAAGGGUGUAGGGACGAGAGAUACCCCGGGAACAUCGGAGGAGUAUAGAAAUAAGGGACUCGAAGAGUCCAAAAGACCAGAGUUGGUGGUGCUAGUAUUGGUGUUAGCAGCCAUGAUGUAUCAACAAGGAAGAACAAAAUCAAGGAAGAACAGAAUCAGCAACCAGAAUGUAACAAAUCAAUUAGCCACACACAAAGCCACACACAAAACCAAAUAUUCAAACAUAAAACCAAAAUCGAUAUACACAAACCAGAUGCACAAUUUUUAAACCAAAGUUACCCUCCUUCUUCGCUACCGGAAGAAGAUCGGCCUUCAAAUAGCAGUGAAAACCCUAGGUGUGAAACCCUAGGUUCAGACGUCGAUUCAGUCACCAGAAAACCGAGAAACGAUGUCGGAAAUUUACCCAAACACCCACAAGAUGAGAAUCGGACCACCGGAAGACGGUAAACCAGUGAAUCAAAACCACCGAAAACCCUAGAUACCGAUAACUCACCAGAAAUCACCAAAACCGAUCAAAACGUUGUCAAAACGUUGAGGUUAAGAAGAUUCACCCGGAUAUUAUGAUGUAAAACACUUUUGAAGUAUGUCCGAUCAAAAACUGAAUCAUCACAGACCAUUCGAUCUCAGAAAAAUCGUCAAA
rnacentral:lncRNA from 1 species